rnacentral:rRNA from 1 species
GAUGAACGCUAGCGACAGGCUUAACACAUGCAAGUCGAGGGGCAGCGGGGGAUGCGUUCGCGCAUUCUGCCGGCGACCGGCGCACGGGUGAGUAACACGUAUGCAACCUGCCCCUGUCAGGGGGACAACCCGCCGAAAGGCGGGCUAAACCCGCGUACAUGCCACCGGGGCAUCCCGGAGGCAGGAAAGGCUUCGGCCGGACAGGGAUGGGCAUGCGGCGCAUUAGGCAGUAGGCGGGGUAACGGCCCACCUAACCGACGAUGCGUAGGGGUUCUGAGAGGAAGGUCCCCCACACUGGUACUGAGACACGGACCAG